UGGAGUCUCCGGCCAGAAUUAAUUAGAACAGCACUUUUGUGGCUUGUACAUGGACACUCAUCUUCAUUUCUUGGACUCUGAGCCUCAAUUUCUCAUUCAAGUGGAGAAAGCAUAUAACAAGAAUAUGGGAGCAAACUCAAGUCCUGCAUCUCAUCCCUGAUGCCCCUUCCUCAGUCUACUCACAUGAGCAUAACUCAGGAAGAAGAGCUGGUUGUUGGUGAAUGUGAUGCCUGGUAGAAGAGGCUCCUCAAGUCCCUGCCUUCUGUCAUUUAUCCAUUUCCUGUAAGCCUGGUGAGAGAAGAAGAAGAGAUGAGUCUCUGCAACGGAACAAGAUUUCAAGACCAACUAUCAUCAUUUUACCUUCAGCAAUUUCCAUGGAAAAUUAAAAGGAAAGUGGUUCUCCUAGGGAAGAAAAAUCAAACAGAAGUAGUGCAGAUCACAAGGUCGAGGUCUGCGAUAUGUAUGACAACCAGCCAGCAUG
rnacentral:lncRNA from 1 species